CAGCACCUCAAGUGGUCAGGAUGAUUAUUGGGCCUAAAGCAUCCGUAGCCUGUUCUGUAAGUUUCCGGUUAAAUCCAUUAGCUCAACUAAUGGGCCGCCGAAAAUACUGCAGAACUAGGGAGUGGGAGAGGUAGACGGUACUCGGUAGGAAGGGGUAAAAUCCUUUGAUCUAUUGAUGACCACCUGUGGCGAAGGCGGUCUACCAGAACACGUUCGACGGUGAGGGAUGAAAGCUGGGGGAGCAAACCGGAUUAGAUACCCGUGUAGUCC
rnacentral:rRNA from 1 species